AUUGAACGCUGGCGGCAGGCUUAACACAUGCAAGUCGAGCGGAGAUGAGGUGCUUGCACCUUAUCUUAGCGGCGGACGGGUGAGUAAUGCUUAGGAAUCUGCCUAUUAGUGGGGGACAACAUUCCGAAAGGAAUGCCAAUACCGCAUACGUCCUACGGGAGAAAGCAGGGGAUCUUCGGACCUUGCGCUAAUAGAUGAGCCUAAGUCGGAUUAGCUAGUUGGUGGGGUAAAGGCCUACCAAGGCGACGAUCUGUAGCGGGUCUGAGAGGAUGGUCCGCCACACUGGGACUGAGACACGGCCCAGACUCCUACGGGAGGCAGCAGUGGGGAAUAUUGGACAAUGGGGGGAACCCUGAUCUAGCCAUGCCGCGUGUGUGAAGAAGGCCUUAUGGUUGUAAAGCACUUUAAGCGAGGAGGAGGCUACUGAGACUAAUACUCUUGGAUAGUGGACGUUACUCGCAGAAUAAGCACCGGCUAACUCUGUGCCAGCCGCCGCGGUAA
rnacentral:rRNA from 1 species